AUGGGGAACAACGGCGUAAAGAGACACGGAUCGAAGGGGGAAAGUGGUGGAAGCGGCCGAGGAGCUCACCACCAAGCUCCUAGACGUGGAUUGGAGGCGCGGGGGCGACUAGAUGCGACGAGCUGGACGACGAGAGACGACAGCCGUGAGGAGGAGGAGGGAUUUGGGCGCGCGGGGUGCUGUGCGGUGGAAGGAAGCAGUCGUCGUGGCCUGAACCCGAGCUCCUGGCGGCGGGUCAUGGCGCCGGCGGGAUUUGGGGCUCCAGCGGUUGGCGAGCGGGGCGAGUGGAGGCCCGGAACGGGCGGAUCUCAACAUGGAGAACCAGAUCCGGUGGGUAGCGCGAGGCAGAGGCGAGGCGUCCAUGGCGGCAUGCUCAUCUGCUUGGCUUCCCCGGUGGCGGCGGUCACCAGCGAUGUGCGGAGGAAGAUGAGGGAGGGUCGAGGCUGGUGUGGGGCGGCGCUGGAGGGAGACGAGGGGAUCGGCUACUCCGGUCGGAUGAGCCGGCCGAGUAGAAGAGAGAGAGCAGGCGUUGGGGAGUCGGGAGUGCUAGGAGAGAGCAGAGAGCGGAGGAAACAAAAGAGCGGCGGCGGACGACGAGAAGGUGAAGGCGGCACGACGCUCUCCGACUUCUGCCUCCACACCACCUACGCGUCGUCGUCCAUCCGCGCGGUCGCCGGCGGCUGCCGCGCCCCGCGCGAGCGCUCGAACUACUGGUGGAGGGAGAGCAUUUGUGGAGAAGGCAGGGUGAGUACGCCGUGCGCCAGCGCCGCCGUCGUCCGCGGCACGCUCACUGCCGUCGGUGAGACGUGGGGCCCCUGGGUUCUCAAGGGCUGGCCCUCCCGCCUCACGGCCCCCAAGGAGGCCGCCGCCAUGCGCCCGGCCGUCGUCGAGGCCAGAAGCACUUUUACCCGCCGCCGCCGACGCCGCCAUCCAUUCAAGCAGGCGCGCCCGUGCGACACAGGUACGAGGAGUUCAUGGAGGCCGGCCGCCUCGCCGCCGAGUACUUGGUGGGCAAAGGCGUGCUCCUGCCGGCAUCGAUGUAGGGGGGCUGUGUUGUUGACUGGGGCCAGAUACCACCUGCGCCUCCGUUGCUGCAUGCUCAGGAAGCCCCCGCGUUCUAUGACUCCCGCUGGAAUGGCCACAACAUCUUGA
rnacentral:rRNA from 1 species